AUUGAACGCUGGCGGCAUGCCUUACACAUGCAAGUCGAACGGCAGCACGGGUGCUUGCACCUGGUGGCGAGUGGCGAACGGGUGAGUAAUACAUCGGAACGUACCUUAUCGUGGGGGAUAACGCAGCGAAAGCUGUGCUAAUACCGCAUAAGCCCUGAGGGGGAAAGCGGGGGAUCGGAAGACCUCGCGCGAUUAGAGCGGCCGAUGCCUGAUUAGCUUGUUGGUGGGGUAAAAGCCCACCAAGGCGACGAUCAGUAGCUGGGCUGAGAGGACGAUCAGCCACACUGGGACUGAGACACGGCCCAGACUCCUACGGGAGGCAGCAGUGGGGAAUUUUGGACAAUGGGGGCAACCCUGAUCCAGCAAUGCCGCGUGAGUGAAGAAGGCCUUCGGGUUGUAAAGCUCUUUUGUCAGGGAAGAAACACCGGCUCUAACACAGUCCGGGAAUGACGGUACCUGAAGAAUAAGCACCGGCUAACUACGUGCCAGCAGCCGCCGCCG
rnacentral:rRNA from 1 species